rnacentral:rRNA from 1 species
AACGAACGCUGGCGACAUGCCUAACACAUGCAAGUCGAACGAGAUCUUCGGGUCUAGUGGCGCACGGGUGCGUAACGCGUGGGAAUCUGCCCUUUGGUUCGGAAUAACAGUUGGAAACGACUGCUAAUACCGGAUGAUGACGAAAGUCCAAAGAUUUAUCGCCAGAGGAUGAGCCCGCGUAGGAUUAGCUAGUUGGUGUGGUAAAGGCGCACCAAGGCGACGAUCCUUAGCUGGUCUGAGAGGAUGAUCAGCCACACUGGGACUGAGACACGGCCCAGACUCCUACGGGAGGCAGCAGUGGGGAAUAUUGGACAAUGGGCGAAAGCCUGAUCCAGCAAUGCCGCGUGAGUGAUGAAGGCCUUAGGGUUGUAAUGCUCUUUUACCCGGGAUGAUAAUGACAGUACCGGGAGAAUAAGCUCCGGCUAACUCCGUGCCAGCAGCCGCCGUAA